GGAUAUGAGAGUAGAUGGUUCUACAGUUUGAUUGCAGAUCUAAUUAUUGGGGUUCGAUUCCUCCGUAUCCC
rnacentral:tRNA from 1 species